UACGGAGGGCGCAAGCGUUAUCCGGAAUCACCGGGCGUAAAGCGCGCGUAGGCGGCCACGCAAGUCAGGUGUGAAAGCCUUCGGCUUAACCGGGGAACCGCACCCGAAACCGUGUGGCUAGAGUCCGGGAGAGGGUGGCGGAAUCCCCGGUGUAGGAGUGAAAUCCGUAGAUAUCGGGAGGAACACCAGAGGCGAAGGCGGCCACCCGGACCGAAACUGACGCCGAGGCGCGAAAGCGUGGGUAGCAAACAGGAUUAGAUACCCCGGUAGUCCACGCCGUAAACGCCGGAUGCUAAAUGCAGGGGACGUUAGAGUCUUUCUGUGUUUGCAGCUAACGCGUUAAGCAUCCCGCCUGGGGAGUACGGUCGCAAGGCUGAGACUCAAAGGAAUUGACGGGGGCCCGCACAAGCGGUGGAGUAUUUUGGUUUAAUUCGAUGCAACGCGAAGAACCUUACCUGGGCUUGACAUCCCGGAAACCUUCUGGAAACAGGGGGGUGCCCUUCGGGGAGUCCGGUGACAGGUGCUGCAUGGCUGUCGUCAGCUCGUGCCGUGAGGUGUUGGGUUAAGUCCCGCAACGAGCGCAACCCUUGUCCUUAGUUGCCAUCAAGUAAAGUUGGGCACUCUAGGGAGACUGCCGAGGUCAACUCGGAGGAAGGUGGGGACGACGUCAAG
rnacentral:rRNA from 1 species